GACGCACACCAACGUACACGUGCAGGCUUGAUUUAUUGGGUAGGAGAGCCAUGUAUUGGAGUGGGGAGUUCUAUCUAGGCUAAAGAGCGUGGCAGCGCUUCUAUCGUGCUCCUAACGCUGACUAAGGUAUGUUUGUCAUGUGACACCAAGAUCGAACUGAUUAUCUAAUACAACA
rnacentral:rRNA from 1 species